rnacentral:rRNA from 1 species
CAACAGCGUAUAUUAAAGUUGUUGCAGUUAAAAAGCUCGUAGUUGGAUUUCGGGGUGGCCUGCCUGGUCCACCGCAAGGUGAGUACUGGUCAGCCGCCCUUCCUCUCGAAAGCCCCGACUGCUCUUCAUUGCAGUGGUCGGGUAGUUCGGGACGUUUACUUUGAAAAAAUUAGAGUGUUCAAGGCAGGCUCUCGCCUGAAUACAUUAGCAUGGAAUAAUGGAAGAGGACCUCGGUCCUAUUUUGUUGGUUUCUAGGGCCGAAGUAAUGAUUAAGAGGGACAGUUGGGGGCAUUCGUAUUUAAUUGUCAGAGGUGAAAUUCUUGGAUUUAUGAAAGACGAACUAGUGCGAAAGCAUUUGCCAAGGAUGUUUUCAUUAA